GUGUAUCUAAGACUGCCAACCUCAAUCAAAAGACAAACUUAAUCAGUGCUGUGGUUUUAAUGUGUCCCCCAAAGCUCAUGUGUUGAAAAUUUAAUCCCCAAUUCAAUAAUGUUGAGAGGUGAUGCCUCUAAGAGAUGAUUAGGUCAUGAGGGCUGUGCCCUCAUGAAUGGAUUAAUGUCAUUGUCAUAGGAGUGGGUUAGUUCUCACUGGAAUGGCUUCCUGAUAAAAGGAUGAAUUCAGUCCCCUUCCCCUUCUUCCUUAUGCCCUCUUGCCCUUCUGCUUUCUACCGUGGGAUGAUGCAGCAAGAAGACCCUCGCCAGAUGCAGACUCCUCAGCCUUGGACUCCCAAGCCUCCAGAACUGAAGUGAUGGAAAAACUAUUCUCAGCAAAUGAGUGGAAAUUGCACAACUACAAGAUUUACCCAUUUUUUGAAAGCUGCCUGAGAAAGAAGAUAGCAAUCCAAAAGAAAAUUCUUCAUACAGACACCAACAGAUGAGCAAAAAAGAGAAAGAGGUCCUUCACAAAUGUAAUAGUCUGACAGGAGGGCUUUCCAGGAUUGACAAUACCAUGAAGACAAUCAGCAGCAAAAAAAGGAGAAGUCAUUGAAUAUCCUUAAGAAUGUCUCGCAGUGGCUCACGCCUGUAAUCCCAGCACUUUGGGAGACCAAGGCGGGUGGAUCACUUGAGGUCAGGAGUUCAAGACCACCCUGGCCAACAUGGUGAAACCCCCUUUCUUCUAAAAAUACAAAAAUUAGCUGGGUGUGGUGGCACGUGCCUAUAAUCCCAGAUACUUGAGAGGAUGAGGCAGGAGAAUCGCUUAAACCCAGGAGGCGGAGGUUGCAGUGAGCUGAUUGUGCCAGUGCACUCCAGCCUGGGAGACAGAGUGAGACUCUGUCUCCAAAAAAAAAAAAAAAAAAAAAAAGAAUGUCUUUCGUAGUGAUAUAUUUAAGUGGUCGGUCGGACAUUUUCUCAACUGAGGUUUCAACUACAUUGGUGCUUCUCAAAGUAUCUGUGAGGAAAGAACCAGUUUUUUAAAAAGAAAAUUUUCCAAUCUAAAAGUUUCUAAGGGCUGACUCUCAAUUUCUGUACUUUUUCAUCACAGACCAGUAACAAACAAGCAUCACUGCUCCAUGAACCACAUUUAGAGUAGUCCUGUUUUAUUUAAAUAACAAUUGCUGUUUAUGGGGCAGAUAGCGUGCCAAACAUUUGAUAAAUAUAAUUUAACGUUCACAACGAUCUUAUGUGGCAAAUCUUUCCCACUUAACGGCUAAAAAAGUGAGAUUUAGAGAGUUUAGGUAAUUUGCAAAGACUCAUAAAAUUAAUCAGUGGUAGAACAUUUCAUCCUAACUUAAAUCUAUUCAUUACCAUCUUUUAAGAAUCAGGAGCAGCAAGGUUGGAUAGUUCAAAAUAUGCAGAAUUAUUGACAGAAGAAUGACAUUGCAAAAAGUCAGAUCUGAUAGUCCAAGGACACAAAUUAAUGAGGAAGCAAAAGACCAGGAAAAUCUAGUUGGGCAUGAGUCAGGUACUAGGUAAUUGAAGAAAAGAAUGGUUGAAACUGGGUUGACUGCUGGAAUGUAGAGUGUAGCUUGUGAGCAAUUACUCAAAUAAAGAUUUUUCCUUUUGUUUAGUGUCCUUUCUUCCUAAGGUAACAAAACAUAUUCUUAUUAAUAGCUGUCACCUGAUUCUUCCACCACCUUCCAAUGUACUGUGUCUGGGGCUUGCUGUACCUCUCUGGUCCUGAUCCUUUUAAGGUGAUAUGGUCAUCAAUAUCUAUCCAUAGAGUUUGAUUACACCCAGCAAAGGGAGGGAUACAUCCCUUGGCAAGAUCUGAGGCUCAAUUAGAGGGUCUUCAUCCUCUGGGAGACCAAAUGGUGCACCAUCUAGGGUUGUCAAAUUCAAGGACUUGGCUCCUCUUUAUUAGAACAUCCUUUUCACAGGGAAGCAUAGCCUGUGAGGCCUAAUGAAGUGGGAAUGGAUCACCCCUUAAGUCUUAGAGGUGUGUACAGCAUGAUUACUAAGCUAUUUGCAAGGAGAAAAGAGGCCUUUGGCCGGGGAAUUAGCUUGUAGGGAGACCCACUGGAAACAGUGUGGCAUGUUCAGUCCCCUAGGAACAGGGGACGUAAACACUAAUUUAUGAAAUUAAAUUAUGAAACUCACAUUGGAAGCCAACAUGGCAAAGGGAGUCCAAAUGCAGGGUGGAAAAUGAUGUAGGAGAAACUGAAAACGUGCACUGUGAAAGCGAGGAUGCAAGGCAAAAAGGAGGAACCAAGAAAAAAAAGUCUCUGAGGAGGAGGAGGUAAGUAGAUCAAAUAAAGUAGAUGAGGCCAAACCUUGUCCAAGCUCCAGGGUUUUGCAUAAGAUCAAGUAAAUAAAUAUAUUCAGAUUGUAGACAAUACAGAAACACAGGCACACACAUUUUUAUGCCACCACAAGAAAAAAUCCAUUACCCAUAUUCAUACCACCCAGAGAUGAUGAUUUAAUUAUGUUUUCUAUGCAUUGUUUGACUUUGAGAGUAAGCAAAGCCCAACCAAGCUUGUUGCCUGACUGUAUUCUGAUAGUGUGUGUGCUAGAGGGAGGGAGAGAUAAUUGAGGCAGGGACAGUUAAUUCACUUCUGAAAAAAUCGGUGUAAUGUUGCAGAUGGCCAAGGCAUCAUGGGAUUUCUGACCCAGAGAGAACUUGAAGAUCAUCCAGCUGAUGGUUUUAAAACUGUGUUUUUCAGAGCCAUAUAGGUCCAGCACAGAUGCCUCAGGGGCUGUCUGGGGGCAGAAUUGGGUGUACAGCCAAGUGGUCAGGGUUAUAGGUCUCCCAGCCUGGCUUCAACCCAGCAACUCUGCUUUAUCUGGUUUUUAUAUUCAUUUCUGGGUAAGGUUUUAUUUGAAAAAAAUGUUCUGCUGCUUUCAAAGGAGAACAAUAAAAAGAUUUAAAGUCAUUGCCCUAAUCCCAAGUAUUCAUUUUGCAGCCAAGGAAAUGGAAACUGAAAUCCCAAGAAAUAAAAGGACAUUCAGAAGAAUGUCUAACCCAUGGCCAGAUGUGUUAGCUAUAAGGACUGAGAGGCUGUCUUUGGGUACAGGACUUUCAGUGCUAAAGCCAAGAAAGUGCCACAAAAACCAGAAGGGUUGGUCUACCUAUCAGGAAGCCUCCAGUUCCCAGAUCUUUUCUUACUAACAGCUCUGUAUUUGUUUCGGAAAUUCUAGGUAAGUUUGUCUCACUUUAGAUUUCUGACUCAUAGAAUCCUUCAGCCUUUGGAACUCAAUAUUUGAGUUUGGCUUCCUAAUUUCUGUUUCCUGACCUCACUUCUGAUUCAUGCCUGUGUAGACACAUUCUACCUGCUUACUUCUCUGUGUCAUGGACAACACACUCUACCCAGUCUUUAUUUUUUCUCCCUGGGAUCUGAUUGUGUGUAGUCUUUGAAUAUGUCACUGUCAGGGUGUCAUUUGCCAUUCAUGUGAAUUGAAGUAACUGCUGACACCUUACUAAUCAAGCAAUACUGCCCAACUUCUGGUACAUUCUAGAAGUUCCUAGACCCAUACUCAGACUUUUCUCAGAGCUUCUUUCCAUUAUCUUUUCCCUUUACUGCCAACAGGCUUGAAAAACAUCAUAUCUUGGCUGCUGGACAUCAACAAUAUAUUUUAUGCCCCAUGUGGUUCAUGAACUGAGUGUCCCAACCUAACAGAUUAGUACCAGAUAAUUUUUUAAACUGCAUUCAUUAAUAGUUAGCAUCUCUUUGGAUCACUGCUGAUUAGAGUAUCUAAAUUAUUCUCACAAUUUUGUUUUACCUUAGGAAGACUUGCUGUAUAUAAUUCAAAGAGGGUUUUAUUAAGUAACUCAAGCAUGGGAUUUUAGUGUCUCAUUUGAUGAGAACUCUGCCAAAGUGUCC
rnacentral:lncRNA from 1 species